AGUCGAGGGGUAGAAAGCAAUAUUUGAGACCGGCGCACGGGUGCGUAACGCGUAUGCAAUCUACCUUUUACAGAGGGAUAGCCCAGAGAAAUUUGGAUUAAUACCUCAUAGUAUAGUGAGUUGGCAUCAACACACUAUUAAAGUCACAACGGUAAAAGAUGAGCAUGCGUCCCAUUAGCUAGUUGGUAAGGUAACGGCUUACCAAGGCAACGAUGGGUAGGGGUCCUGAGAGGGAGAUCCCCCACACUGGUACUGAGACACGGACCAGACUCCUACGGGAGGCAGCAGUGAGGAAUAUUGGUCAAUGGGCGCAAGCCUGAACCAGCCAUGCCGCGUGCAGGAUGACGGUCCUAUGGAUUGUAAACUGCUUUUGCACAGGAAGAAACACUACCUCGUGAGGUAGCUUGACGGUACUGUGAGAAUAAGGAUCGGCUAACUCCGUGCCAGCAGCCGCGGUAAUACGGAGGAUCCAAGCGUUAUCCGGAAUCAUUGGGUUUAAAGGGUCCGUAGGCGGCCAGAUAAGUCAGUGGUGAAAGCCCAUCGCUCAACGAUGGAACGGCCAUUGAUACUGUUUGGCUUGAAUUAUUUGGAAGUAACUAGAAUAUGUAGUGUAGCGGUGAAAUGCUUAGAGAUUACAUGGAAUACCAAUUGCGAAGGCAGGUUACUACAAAUUGAUUGACGCUGAUGG
rnacentral:rRNA from 1 species